CAGUUGUGACGCAAUUUCUCUCUGCAGUAUUCUCUGAAACACAAUUAGUUCAUAAAAAAUCUAACACUCCAAAGCAAGAGCAAUUUCAAAAAUGGGUUUACUU